UACGUAGGGUGCAAGCGUUAAUCGGAAUUACUGGGCGUAAAGCGUGCGCAGGCGGUUUUGUAAGUCUGACGUGAAAUCCCCGGGCUCAACCUGGGAAUUGCGUUGGAGACUGCAAGGCUAGAAUCUGGCAGAGGGGGGGUAGAAUUCCACGUGUAGCAGUGAAAUGCGUAGAGAUGCGGAGGAACACCGAUGGCGAAGGCAGCCCCCUGGGUCAAGAUUGACGCUCAUGCACGAAAGGCGUGGG
rnacentral:rRNA from 1 species